UUGUGUGUAGGAGGAAUUGAUUAAUCUCAGUGGAAACAAGGAAACACUUGAUUUAAAUCAAUUCUCGA
rnacentral:sRNA from 10 species